CGUCGCCAUCUCUAGUUGGGAAAAUGAAGGGUUAUAGUAAGGAAGCAAAAUUUUUGCAAAUGGACAACCGCCCAUGACUUGACUUUGCCUUCUCUGAUGUUUACUGUGCAGGAUGCUUCUGAAUGGAAGACAGGCCUGUGUAUGAAAUGCCAGAGUGAGGAGGUGAAGACAGACGCCAAGGAAUUAGUUAAAGAACAGGAGGACGGACAUUCCUGAAAAAGGCCAAACCCUGCCUCAGCAGCAUCUCAGGAGAAUUCUCCAGCAAAGUCAAGCUUCUAGGCAAGAAGACAGGAGCUCUGGGCACAUGCACAGCCACCCCUUUUUUCACUAAUGACUGAUUCUUUGAAGCUGGUUUUCCUGGAAUAGUAAUAGAGCCACUGCUGAAUGGAGCUCCAGCCUCAAUUCAGUUCAAUUCAGUUCAACGUAAUACAAUGUAGCUAGCACCAACCAACCACUAGGUUCCUGGCUGUGCCCUCUUCUGGGAUACAAAAGGAAAGAUGAAAAGAGCAUCUGCCCUCAGAUCGCUUAGACACUAGAAUGCUAGAAUAGAAAACAUUGACAUGCAAGGGAAUGUGGGGGAGCACCACUGGGAGGAAUCCGGAAAGGGAGUGGCCCUAUGGCUGCCACUGAAAUGGAACUAGGGAUGCCCAGAGUUGGGGACUAGAAGGGAUGACUCCAAGAAAGGGCUGCGGGGCCCGGUGGAUAAGGAGAAGGCACAUCAAAUGGGAAUGUGAAGAAUUGGGGGAAGCAGAGUGAUCUGAAAGAGCUAGAAAGUCUGCCUCCAGUCAGAUUGUGAAAGGCUUUAAAUUCAAAAGCCAGGAAUGGGCAUUUAUUCUCGGGGGCAUGGAGAGCCACGGAAUCUUCCCGAGAAGGGGAAUGAUUGAGCCACGCUGAUGUGUGAAGAAUUCCAGUUUAGCAGUUGAGUAGAGGAUGCAUUGCAGGAGAUCGAGGGGCAGUGUUCAAGACAGAGUUCAGUCAGGAGCCUAUUUCUGUAGGCCAGGCAAGAGGUGAUAAUGGAUGGAAUUAAAUCAGGAGCUGGGUGGGAGUAAGUUGGACAAGGGGGAGAACCCGUUAGGAGAUGGAACAGACAAAAGUCAUCAAUUUAUUGGCUACAUAAAGUGAGGGGGGGGGAGAAGAGAAGAUUGUUCUGAGU
rnacentral:lncRNA from 1 species